rnacentral:piRNA from 1 species
CAAUUUUCUAUAUCGGGUCAA